UACGUAGGCAGCAAGCGUUGUUCGGAGUUACUGGGCGUAAAGGGUGUGUAGGCGGUCUUCUAAGUCUGGUGUGAAAUCUCCCGGCUCAACUGGGAGGGUGCGCCGAAAACUGGAAGGCUAGAGUGCGGGAUGGGAGAGUGGAAUUCCUGGUGUAGCGGUGAAAUGCGCAGAUAUCAGGAGGAACACCGAUGGCGAAGGCAGGUCUCUGGGCCACUACUGACGCUGAGAAGCGAAAGCAUGGGGAGCGAACAGG
rnacentral:rRNA from 1 species